CCUASGGGAGGCAGCAGUGGGGAAUAUUGGGCAAUGGAGGAAACUCUGACCCAGCGACGCCGCGUGAGGGAUGAAGGCCUUCGGGUUGUAAACCUCUUUCAGUAGGGAAGAAGCGAAAGUGACGGUACCUACAGAAGAAGCACCGGCUAACUAUGUGCCAGCAGCCGCGGUAAUACAUAGGGUGCAAGCGUUGUCCGGAAUUAUUGGGCGUAAAGAGCUCGUAGGUGGUUCGAUACGUCGGAUGUGAAAAUCAGGGGCUCAACCCCUGACCUGCAUCCGAUACGGUCGAGCUGGAGUUUGGUAGGGGAGACUGGAAUUCCUGGUGUAGCGGUGGAAUGCGCAGAUAUCAGGAGGAACACCGAUGGCGAAGGCAGGUCUCUGGGCCAAUACUGACACUGAGGAGCGAAAGCGUGGGGAGCGAACAGGAUUAGAUACCCUGGUAGUCCACGCCGUAAACGGUGGGCGCUAGUUGUGCGAACCUUCCACGGUUUGUGCGACGCAGCUAACGCAUUAAGCGCCCCGCCUGGGGAGUACGAUCGCAAGAUUAAAACUCAAAGGAAUUGACGGGG
rnacentral:rRNA from 1 species